rnacentral:tRNA from 1 species
GGAUUGUGACUCAGUGGUAGAGUGCUUGCCUAGCACGUGCAAGGCCCUGGGUUUGAUCCUCAGCACCA